CGUCACACUAUCGUUAACUGAAUACAUAGGUUAACGAGGCGAACCGGGGGAACUGAAACAUCUAAGUACCCCGAGGAAAAGAAAUCAACCGAGAUUCCCCCAGUAGCGGCGAGCGAACGGGGAGCAGCCCGGAGUCUGAAUCAGCUUGUGUGUUAGUGGAAGCGUCUGGAAAGUCGCACGGUACAGGGUGACAGUCCCGUACACGAAAAUGCACAGGUUGUGAACUCGAAGAGUAGGGCGGGACACGUGGUAUCCUGUCUGAAUAUGGGGGGACCAUCCUCCAAGGCUAAAUACUCCUGACUGACCGAUAGUGAACCAGUACCGUGAGGGAAAGGCGAAAAGAACCCCGGCGAGGGGAGUGAAAAAGAACCUGAAACCGUGUACGUACAAGCAGUGGGAGCACCUUCGUGGUGUGACUGCGUACCUUUUGUAUAAUGGGUCAGCGACUUAUAUUCUGUAGCAAGGUUAACCGUAUAGGGGAGCCGCAGGGAAACCGAGUCUUAACUGGGCGUUAAGUUGCAGGGUAUAGACCCGAAACCCGGUGAUCUAGCCAUGGGCAGGUUGAAGGUUGGGUAACACUAACUGGAGGACCGAACCGACUAAUGUUGAAAAAUUAGCGGAUGACCUGUGGCUGGGGGUGAAAGGCCAAUCAAACCGGGAGAUAGCUGGUUCUCCCCGAAAGCUAUUUAGGUAGCGCCUCGUGAACUCAUCUUCGGGGGUAGAGCACUGUUUCGGCUAGGGGGCCAUCCCGGCUUACCAACCCGAUGCAAACUACGAAUACCGAAGAAUGUUAUCACGGGAGACACACGGCGGGUGCUAACGUCCGUCGUGAAGAGGGAAACAACCCAGACCGCCAGCUAAGGUCCCAAAGUCAUGGUUAAGUGGGAAACGAUGUGGGAAGGCACAGACAGCCAGGAUGUUGGCUUAGAAGCAGCCAUCAUUUAAAGAAAGCGUAAUAGCUCACUGGUCGAGUCGGCCUGCGCGGAAGAUGUAACGGGGCUAAACCAUGCACCGAAGCUGCGGCAGCGAC
rnacentral:rRNA from 1 species